rnacentral:rRNA from 1 species
AUGAGAGGGAGCAGUCUGGUGUGCGUGGCUACUCUCUUGUUCGUCGGCAAAAUCACGUUGAAGUGGUGUGUGAGGAGGGACUGCGAUCAUCCAAAGGACCCGUUCGUCUGGAAAAACUGUUACUGCUGUGUCACGCAGCCGGGCAGUCCGUGUUGGCGUCAUGUGAAUGAAUGUCAAGCAAAUUGCCCAUCGUGUCAUCCUGAUUGCCCGCCUGCAUCAGCAAUCGAGCUACACGCAUAA